UUUCUUUUGUGUGUCGGUUGGGCUAGGAUGACCUGCUGGUAACUAUUCAACUUUAAAUUUUCGAAGUUGCAUAUUAGCACUAUAUUCAUUUAAUGAUGUUGCCUAAGGUUAAAAUGAAGUAUGCUUAAACACUACUAAAUUUUUGGAAGUGUGAAUCUGGUUUUUUCUUGCUUCAUUCUUGACUGUA
rnacentral:lncRNA from 1 species